rnacentral:rRNA from 1 species
GAACUGUGGCGCUGGCCGACUCCCCAUCUGCGGGGAGUUGACGACACCUCGAGUCUGCAGGAACACUCCCGGGGGUAUACUCCCCGAAGAACAACCUGCAGCCGUCGUGAUUCCUUUGAGAAUCUCGUCGGCCCACAGACUAAAUAGAGGUGGAUAUCAUCCGGAGGGAUGCUAGUUCAGAUAUAGUCGCCUACCCAGAGGCAAAGUAAUUUGGGUUACACCGGUUCCGUAGGUGAACCUGCGGAAGGAUCAUUA